rnacentral:rRNA from 1 species
UACGGAGGAUGCAAGCGUUAUCCGGAUUUAUUGGGUUUAAAGGGUGCGCAGGUUGUUUGUAUAAGUCAGUGGUGAAAGUCUGUCGCUUAACGGUAGGAUUGCCAUUGAUACUGUUAGACUGGAAUAUGGAUGAGGUAGGCGGAAUGUGUAGUGUAGCGGUGAAAUGCAUAGAUAUUACACAGAACACCGAUUGCGAAGGCAGCUUACUAAUCCAUCAUUGACGCUGAGGCACGAAAGCGUGGGGAGUCAAACA